rnacentral:rRNA from 1 species
GGUCAAGUUAUUAAGAGUCCAUGGUGAAUGCCUUGGGGUCAAGGACUGAAGAAGGGCGUGGCAAGACUGCGAAAAGCCUCGGUCAGCCGUCUAGCGGGCUUAGCCGGGGAUUCCCGAAUUGGGAAACCAGUUCCGGGUCAUACCGGAACAUUCUGAUUUUUAUCAGAAAGGUAAGUGGGCGAACUGAAACAUCUAAGUAGCCCGAGGAAAAUAAAUCAACCGAGAUUCCCCUAGUAGUGGUGAACGAACGGGGAACAGCCUAAACCAAACAGGCUUAACGGUCUGAGGACCUAUGUCUGAUUGGUGUUGUAACACCUACCUGCUUCAACCUCAGCAAGAAGCAAAAAGUUACAAAACCGUCUUCUAGAUGAAAGCGUCUGGAAAGAACUGCCAAAGAGGGUGAUAGCCCCGUAGUUGAAAGGAGACGGACUUUUGGUAGGCUGUUGAGUACCACGGGACACGUGGAAUCCUGUGGGAAUCUGGGGGGACCACCCUCCAAGGCUAAAUAUCCUUGACCACCGAUAGUGAACCAGUACCGUGAGGGAAAGGUGAAAAGAACCCCGGGAGGGGAGUGAAAUAGACCUGAAACCGUGGACUUACAAGCCGUAGAAGGCCUUUACGAAGGCUAACUGCGUGCCUAUUGAAGAAUGAGCCGGCGAGUUAAUCUAGUUAGCUUGGUUAAGGAACAGAAAUUCUGGAGCCGCAGCGAAAGCGAGUCCUAAUAGGGCGUUAGUUAGGCGGCGAGGAAUUCAUUUUCCGAGUUCUUUUUUUAUUUGUUGAUUACCUUCGGGUGAGAUUCAGCUGAAAUCAGAAUGACGUCAAUGACUGAAUUGCCAAUAUGCUUAACGUGUUGUCUGGAUUAGACCCGAAACCGAGUGAGCUACCCAUGGCCAGGUUGAAACCCGGAUAAUAUCCGGGCGGAGGACCGAACCCGUGUCUGGUGCAAAAGGCUGGGAUGAGCUGUGGGUAGAGGUGAAAUGCCAAACGAACUCGGAGAUAGCUGGUUCUCCCCGAAAUGUAUUUAGGUACAGCCUUCAGAUAAUUACUGGGAGGUAGGGCACUGGUUGAGCUAGGGGCUGUAAAGUUACCGAACUCAUCCAAACCACGAAUGCUCAGUAAUGAUUCUGUGGAGUGAGACAGUGGGGGAUAAGCUCCAUUGUCGAGAGGGAAACAGCCCAGAUCGCAGGCUAAGGUCCCUAAGUAUGUGCUAAGUGUGAAAGGAAGUGGGAAUACUAAAACAGCUAGUAGGUUGGCUUAGAAGCAGCCAUCCUUUAAAGAGUGCGUAACAGCUCACUAGUCGAGGAUUCUCGCGCCGAAAAUGUAACGGGGCUAAAGCACAUCACCGAAGCCGCGGGACUUUCGUUUUAACGGAAGUCGGUAGGGGAGCGUUGCUAGCGCGUUGAAGUCAGACUGUGAGGUCUGGUGGAGUGCUGGGAAGUGAGAAUGCCGGCAUGAGUAGCGACAAUCCUGGUGAGAAUCCAGGACACCGAAAGCAUAAGGUUUCCUACGCAAUGCUGAUCAGCGUAGGGUAAGUCGGGCCUAAGCCGUAGCGUAUAGCGAAGGCGAUGGACAGCAGGUUAAGAUUCCUGCACCGCAGACGUAGUGUUAUAAAGUAGAGGGGGGACACGGACAGAUAGGCGGGGCGCGCCCAUUGGACAUGGCGCGUCUGGCUCUGAAGGCCAAGCUAGGACAGGCAAAUCCGUUCUAGCGUGAUGAGCUGAGGGAGCUGGAAACUCCAGGGCUUAUGCCCGGGGGGAUUCCGUUGAUUCUAUGCCGUCGAGAAAAUCCUCGCUACAAAUUACGUCAGCGUCCGUACCGCAAACCGACACAGGUAGACAGGGGUAAGUGUCCCCAGGUGAACGAGAGAACCCUCGUUAAGGAAUUCGACAAGUUGACCCCGUAACUUAGGGAUAAGGGGUGCCCGUGGGGUGAAGGCUGCUAGCCAGCCGGAUGCCUUAGCGGGCGACACUAAACAGGCUCAGGCGACUGUUUAUCAAAAACACAGGUCUCUGCUAAACCGAAAGGUGAUGUAUAGGGGCUGACACCUGCCCAGUGCCGGAAGGUUAAGGGGAUGGGUUCGUUCGCUUGCGAACAAAGCUCAGAACCGAAGCCCCGGUGAACGGCGGCCGUAACUAUAACGGUCCUAAGGUAGCGAAAUCCCUUGUCGGGUAAGUUCCGACCCGCACGAAUGGCGUAACGACUUGAGCGUUGUCUCAACGAGGGGCUCGGUGAAAUUGCAUGGCCGGUAAAGAUGCCGGCUACCCGUGACAGGACAAAAAGACCCCGUGGAGCUUUACUGUAGUUUGGCAGUGGUUCGGGGUUGCGGAUGUGUAGGAUAGGCGGGAGACUUUGAAACUUCAGCGUCAGCUGGGGUGGAGUCGCCCUUGAAAUACCGCCCUUCUGUGAUCGUGAUCCUAACCCCAUUAAAAUUGGGGGACCCUGCCUGAUGGGCAGUUUGACUGGGGCGGUCGCCUCCUAAAGAGUAACGGAGGCGCACAAAGG